UGGUGGUAAAGCGAGGACGUGUUAUCUGAUUGUUUUUUAGGUUCUUUGUCUGUUGUUAGGUCAGGGAUUUUGCAAUGGUUAGCGGUGUGAAGGACAUGUCAGCUGUCUAGGUCGUUGGGGAACUGCCACUGGUAUGUGGUAAGGAGGUUCGCAUGGUUGUGGACGAGACCCAGUCACUAGACGAGGCUUUUUCUGCUGACCAGGUGUCAAAUGGGGUUCCCUUGGUGCCAGCCUAUAGGACAUACUUUGGGGAUGGGAAGAUCUUCAGCUUCCAGAGUUGGACCAGUGGAGGUUCUGCUACCAGAUAUAGUUCUUUCCAAGGUUGCAUGUUGACUGCAACAGACUACUAACACAGGUGUUGGAUGCCACAGCUGACACUGUUCUAAAGAGUGAUCUGCAGUUGGGAGAGCUGAUACCGGUAGUUUGUUUUCAGUUUUGUACAUAUUUUAAUGUUAUGACAUGUUUUAAAAUCUGAAUAAAAUGAAUAAAUACCAUUUUUUUUAUAUACGUUAUGAUUUAAUUGCGUGCGUAGGCGGCAUUGUGGGAACGAGGGCGGGACGCGCGGUUUUUUUCCAUUGCUGUGGUAGAUUUUUGGAAGGUGUUUAUUUUUGUAGGUUAUUUGUUCGGAGGCAGUUGGUUUUUGUUUGGAGAUGGUUUGCUUCUGUUCUUUUUAGGUUGCAUGUUGACUGCAACAGACUACUAACACAGGUGUUGAAUGCCACAGCUGACACUGCUCUAAAGGUAAUAGACACAUAUUUUAUACACCAUUUAUCCUCUGACAAUUUAAUAAAAACUGGUAUUAUAAUAUAUAAAACAUUGCAGUUUUAACUUUUAACAGUAUAAUUUGUACAUCUUAAUAUCUGUAAUUCCGGUUGUAGAAGGUGUUUUUUUAUUGGUUAAUUCAAUAUUCCUCUUUCUUGCUGUUCCCCCAAAAUGUGAAACCAAGGAUAAGUAUUAGCUCAUCUGUCCAAUCUUCACCUCAACGCAACGGUCAUAUCUUAUUAUAAAUUUAUAAUAAGAUACAACUUUGUUGCGUUGAGGUGACGACAUAGUGACAAGAUGAGCUUUUGUGAUCACCCUUCGUCCGAGGUCCUUUGGAUAGGGAACUCUGCAAUUGCAGGGCCAUUCUUAGGUGUCCUUUUCUUUUUCAGCUAGAUAGGGAACUAAAUUGUGUAGAUAGGGAAGCCUGUAACUUUGCAGCCGGAUAAUGCAUCUCCUAUGGAAAGGCAUUUGUAGCCUGUAACUGUGCAGCCGGAUAAUGCCUCUCAUAUUGAAAGGCAUUUGAAGCCUCAAGUAUACAGCCGGAUAAUGCCUCUCCUAUGGAAAGCAUUUGAAGUAUGUAAGUAUGCAGCUGGAUAAUGCCUCUCCUAUGGAAACCCAUUCGAAGUCUGCUAAAAAAUAAUAUAACUAAUCUUUAGAAUCAAAUGGGUGGUAUCAAGAACAGUAAGUAAUUGCAAGUUGUGAAAGAGGAUCAGGACAUUACGUCGGCCAGGCUCACAUUUUGAGGGACUGAAAAUUGUUUAAGCUAAAUCUCUUAAGCUAUUGAGUGUUAAAUUCUUUUUCUGAAUGAAAAUUGAGUUGUCUUUUGCAACCGGAAUUACAGAGAUAAUGUUUUUAUUGCAAUAUUUUUAUGUGUGUGUCGUAUAGAUUUUUUUUUCUAUUUUCAGAGUGAUCUGCAGUUGGGAGAGCUGAUAGUUUGUUUUCAGUUUUGUACAUAAUUUAAUGUUAUGACAUGUUUUAAAAUCUGAAUAAAUAUACCAUUUUUUUUAUAAUUAUACGUUAUGAUUUAAUUGCGUGCGUAGGUGGCAUUGUGGGAACGAGGGCAGGACGCGCGUUUUUUUUCCAUAGCUGUGGUGGAUUUUUGGAAGGUGUUUAUUUUUGUAGGUUAUUUGUUCGGAGGCAGUUGGUUUUUGUUUGGAGAUGGUUUGCUUCUGUUCUUUGGGUUGCAUGUUGACUGCAACAGACUACUAACACGUGUUGGCUGCCACAGCUGACACUGCUCUAAAGGUAAUAGACACAUUUUUUAUACACCAUUUAUCCUCUGACAAUUUAAUAAAAACUGGUAUUAUAAUAUAUAAAACAUUGCAGUUUUAACUUUUAACAGUAUAAUUUAUGUACAUCUUAAUUUCUAUAAUUCCGGUUGUAGAAGGUGUUUUUUUUUAUUGGUUAUUUCAAUAUUCCUCUU